rnacentral:rRNA from 1 species
GAUGAACGCUGGCGGCGUGCCUAAUACAUGCAAGUCGAGCGAACGGACGAGAAGCUUGCUUCUCUGAUGUUAGCGGCGGACGGGUGAGUAACACGUGGAUAACCUACCUAUAAGACUGGGAUAACUUCGGGAAACCGGAGCUAAUACCGGAUGAUAUUUUGAACCGCAUGGUUCAAAAGUGAAAGACGGUCUUGCUGUCACUUAUAGAUGGAUCCGCGCUGCAUUAGCUAGUUGGUAAGGUAACGGCUUACCAAGGCAACGAUGCAUAGCCGACCUGAGAGGGUGAUCGGCCACACUGGAACGGAGACACGGUCCAGACUCCUACGGGAGGCAGCAGUAGGGAAUCUUCCGCAAAGGGCGAAAGCCUGACGGAGCAACGCCGCGUGAGUGAUGAAGGUCUUCGGAGCGUAAAACUCUGUUAUUAGUGAAGAACAUAUGUGUAAGUAACUGUGCACAUCUUGACGGUACCUAAUCAGAAAGCCACGGCUAACUACGUG